rnacentral:rRNA from 1 species
UUUCCGGUUGAUCCUGCCAGAGGUUACUGCUAUCGAGAUUCGACUAAGCCAUGCGAGUUGAAUGUUCUUCGUGAACAUGGCGGACUGCUCAGUAACACGUGGACAACCUACCCUUGGGUCUGGCAUAAUCCUGGGAAACUGGGUAUAAUUCCAGAUAGGUCACAGAUGCUGGAAUGCACUGUGGCCGAAAGCUCCGGCGCCCAAGGAUGGGUCUGCGGCGUAUCAGGUUGUAGUGGGUGUAGCGUACCUACUAGCCUACGACGGGUACGGGUUGUGAGAGCAAGAGCCCGGAGAUGGAUUCUGAGACACGAAUCCAGGCCCUACGGGGUGCAGCAGGCGCGAAAACUUUACAAUGCGGGAAACCGUGAUAAGGGAAUCUCGAGUGCCAGCAUAUAAUGUUGGCUGUCCAGAUGCCUAAAAAGCAUCUGUUAGCAAGGGCCGGGCAAGACCGGUGCCAGCCGCCGCGGUAACACCGGCGGCCCGAGUGGUAACCGCUUUUAUUGGGUCUAAAGGGUCUGUAGCCGGCCAAGUAAGUCCCUUGGGAAAUCUGGCAGCUCAACUGUCAGGCUGCUAGGGGAUACUGCUAGGCUUGGGACCGGGAGAGGUGAGAGGUACCUUGGGGGUAGGGGUGAAAUCUUGUGAUCCUCGGGGGACCACCAGUGGCGAAGGCGUCUCACCAGAACGGGUCCGACGGUAAGGGACGAAAGCUAGGGGCACGAACCGGAUUAGAUACCCGGGUAGUCCUAGCCGUAAACGAUGCUCGCUAGGUGUCAGUCACGGUGCGACCGUGAUUGGUGCCGUAGGGAAGCCGUGAAGCGAGCCACCUGGGAAGUAUGGCCGCAAGGCUGAAACUUAAAGGAAUUGGCGGGGGAGCACUACAACGGGUGGAGCCUGCGGUUUAAUUGGAUUCAACGCCGGAAAU